AGGGCACCCCCCGGAGGGGAGCCUGCGGCUUAAUUUGGCUCAACACGGGAAAACUCACCCGGCCCGGACACUGGAAGGAUUGACAGACUGAGAGCUCUUUCUUAAUUCAGUGGGGGGGGGUGCAUGGGCGUUCUUUGUUGGUGGAGCGAAUUUGUUGGUUAAUUCCGAUUACGAACGAGACUCUGGCCUAAUAAAUAAACGAGAUAUUACUCAGUGUCUCACGCUUCUGAUAGGGACAAGCGGCGUCUAGUCGCAUGAAAAAGAGCAAUAACAGGUCUGUGAUGCCCUUAGAUGUCCGGGGCUGCACCCGCGCUACACUGAAAAAAUCAGGGGGCGUUUUACCUGGUUCGUAAGAACCGGCUAACCCAAGUAAUUUCUUUCGUGCUUGGGAUAGGGAAUUGCAAUUAUUUCCCUUAAACGAGGAAUUCCCAGUAAACUCGGCUCAUAAGCUCGAGUUGAUUACGUCCCUGCCCUUUGUACACACCGCCCGUCGCUACUACCAAUUGGAUGACUUAGUGA
rnacentral:rRNA from 1 species